GCGACAACAGGCAGUGAUUAGAGCAGCGGGUCUGAUAGUUGCAGGUGUAAGUAGUGCAGUGUGUGGAGGGUUGCCGCAUAAAGGAUGGAAGAUAGCAUCGACACUAUUUUGUUACAUAAAUCAACCAAAUUCCUUUUUAAUGAAGAAUCUCACUCGCAAGCACCAUGGGCUAUAGCCGGCGGGACCGCCACCAUGUAUGCUCUGUGGAGCCUGUUUGUUUUACCAGGUUUCCGCCAAGUUCCCUGGAAGCUUAAGGUCCCAUACUUACCUUCUGGCAAGAUUCAAACUGCUAAUGUGAUAAAACUAUUACAAGGACGGAAAGGAAGAUUGGUUGACCUUGGAUCAGGAGAUGGAAGACUGGUUUUUGCUGCAGCGUCUAUGGGAUUACAUAGCACUGGCUAUGAGUUAAAUUCAUUCUUGAUAAAUUGGGCAAAAGUUAAGGCGUAUCAGAGAGGGAUUUCUCAGGAGCAAGCAACUUUCCUCAAGCAGGAUUUUUGGAAAGCUAAUCUAUCAAAGUACAAUCAUGUGACUGUGUUUCUGGCACCGAGUGUUGUUGAAACAGUGAAGAAGAAGUUAGCUGAAGAACUUCCUGAUAACGCCAGGGUGAUAGUUUGUCGAUUUCCAUUAACUGGAUGGUCACCAACAUGCACUGAAGGUUCAGGGUUGGACCAGUCCUGGAGCUCUUAGAGCGGAUGAGGGAUAAAUCACACUUACAGAAAAGCAGGAGGCUCCUGUGAUGAGCUAUGAGAACUGGCUGGAUGCGAGACCAAGAAUAGGUAUACAUUUUUGAAGAUUUGGCAACCCUGGUUAGACUUCAUAGCUGACAGGAACUGAUAAUAAUUAUUUGUGCACUGUCUCACUAAAAUGUUUUGUUGUGUCUCCCAGCACAGUCUCUAGAUUGAGAACAAUAACAGGGCCUAGGCUGUUACACAAGGAGAGCUCAGUAGGAAUGUAGAAGGUCACCAUCCCAGGACUGGUAUCUGCUCCUUUGUGUGAGGAGAAAUACAGCCAAAGAAUGACCCUAAACAUGAUACUGGUUGUAAAAGUAGACAUAUUCUUUAAGUUUUUAUGUCAAGGAAAGCAUGGGAUUUGGAGCUAUUUAACACGUGCCAUUUUUGUGUUGGAAGCUGUUACCGUGUACUACUACAUUCAGAUGAGGAUGGCCACGCUGACUGAAGACCAGAGAUAUGUGUAAAAGAUGAAGAGCGCUUUGCUUAGAUCUCCAGUAUCUCGGUAACCAUGUACAUUACAUCACCAGGCAUAUCUCCACUCGCCACUCCAUUAUAAGAUCUAUUAUAGCAGGGAUCGGCAACCUACCAGCACUCCAGCUGUUCUGAAACUACAACUCUCAGAAUCCUCCUUUCACUUCUAUGGGAAGUUACAAGAAUAGCUGAGCAAAUGUGCACGCUGGGAGUUGUAGUUUCACAGCAGCUGGAGUGCCGAAGGUUGCUGAUCCCUGUCUUAAAGGAAAACAUUGUUGUUCUGGAUACAGGGUUUCUCAACUCCGUUCCUCGGGACCCACCUACCAGUCAGGAUUUGAGAAUAUCCCACAGAAUGAAUACCUGUGGUAAGUCCUGAUGCAUG